CAAUAGCGUAUAUUUAAGUUGUUGCAGUUAAAAGCUCGUAGUUGGAUUUCGGAUGUGAACGACCGGUCCGCCGUUGCGGUGUGCACUGGACGUUUGUAUCUUGUUGUCGGGAGCGCGCUCCUGACCUUAACUGGGAGGGACGCGGAGUCGGCGCUGUUACUUUGAAAAAUAGAGUGUUCAAAGCAGGCAACCGCUCUGAAUACAUUAGCAUGGAAUAACGCCAUAGGACUCUGGUCCUAUUGUGUUGGUCUUCGGGACCGGAGUAAUGAUUAAUAGGGAUAGUUGGGGGCAUUAGGUAUUUAAUUGUCAGAGGUGGAAUUCUCGGAUUUGUUAA
rnacentral:rRNA from 1 species